rnacentral:lncRNA from 1 species
CCGACUCAAUCAUGAUUGAUCACCGGUCGAUCCCGAGUUAGCCCAAUUCCAAAGGUUAUGUAUUCUGAAAUAUUCAUACAAUGCACUAAUCGACUGAUUUACUGUACUAAUUGGUACUAAUUGGCACAAAUCGGCCGGUUGGUGCACUAAUCAGUGAUUUGUUGUAAAGAUCACCCGAGUUGUGCACUGUUAUAGUGAAAAAUCUAUGAACACUUGAAAAAUGUUGAAAGUUGAAGGUCUAAAAAUACAUUACAAGAUGGACUAUUUAUGACACUUGGAAUCCAUUUUUUCUCAUGUCCAUACUUCUUGAGGUUGAGAUGAUCGAUUUGAGGAUUUUUGGGCAUCGAAAUAAUGCAGAUAACCGAGGGCAAUGAGGGCAAGACGACCUGCUUGAUGCUCGAGCAUUCUUGGUAAUGUCAUUUGGUCUAACCAAUGCCCCAACAACCUUUUGCACAUUGAUGAGUGAGUUAUUUGCCCCUACUUAGAGAAGUUUAUCGUAGUCGAUGAUAUUUGAUACUAAAUAGACCGGAUGAUAUUGUGGUGUAUACUAAACCAAGCUGACUUUUCUAUUGGAUUUUUGAGGUGCUCUUUAAUUUAAUUAUUAAGGGCCUAGCCCUUAAAUAAACUUUUUCCUUUAUGGGUUUUAAGGGGUGUGGUUUGUAUAAGGCUGGGGCCUAAACUGUCAAAGUAAGGUGCACAUUCAAAUAGUAUCGAGAGACGUUGUUUUAGUAUUAGAAAUCUUUGUGAUGGCCUGAAAAUUUAUAUCUAAUUAUAUAAUUUAAAGCUUGAAAAUAAUGUAGAUCAAGCAUAUCUUGAACAAUUGAAAAUCUUGAAAACUAGCAUUGUGGUCUAUAAAAUGCAUUACAAAAUGCACUAAUUCCAAGACAAGAAAAUGCAUUAUAUGAUGCACUAUUUUUGAGACAAGAAAUUCAGUUUUCCCAUGUUCAUAUAUCUUGAGGUCGAGAUGAUCGAUUUUAGGAUUUUUGAGCAUUGAAACAACUUUUUCGAGUGAAAUUUUGAUGUGUGCUUUAGUUUGAUUGUUUAGGGCAUUACCUUUAUAUAAACCUUUUCCCUAAUUUAAGUAUACAAUAAAAGCGUAUAGUUUUUGUACAGUAUGGUCACAAUCACCCCUAGUCAUUAGAUGUAAAAUUGGGUGACUAGAAGGCGUAAUAUUACAUCAUCUCCUUCAAUUACUAGUUUGCGUAAUAUUACGCCAUCUCCUUCAAUUACUAGUUCACUGAAAAAGUAUUGCUUUAGAUGUCUAAAAUUUUUCUUCGACACCCAAUUAUGCUUAUAAUAUUUUUUUGGUUUAUUUAUUUUAUGUGACAAUAUAAAAAAACAAUGCAUGUAGAUUUUAAACAUUUUUUUACAAUUUUUUGAGAUUAUUUACUCAAAUUAUAUUUUUCAGUAAAAAUAGGGACACUAAUAAACCAGUGUAAUGCUAUGGAAUCUACUUAAAUUACUAGUUCACUGAAAAAAUAUUGCUUCAUGUAUUUACAUUUUUUUUUUCGACACC